CCAGAGAACUUUCCAGAGAUGGAUUGGUGCCGUUCGGGAACUCUGAGACAGGUGCUGCAUGGCUGUCGUCAGCUCGUGUUGUGAAAUGGUUGGGUUAAGUCCCGCAACGAGCGCAACCCUUAUCCUUUGUUGCCAGCGGUUAGGCCGGGAACUCAAAGGAGACUGCCAGUGAUAAACUGGAGGAAGGUGGGGAUGACGUCAAGUCAUCAUGGCCCUUACGAGUAGGGCUACACACGUGCUACAAUGGCGCAUACAAAGAGAAGCGACCUCGCGAGAGCAAGCGGACCUCAUAAAGUGCGUCGUAGUCCGGAUUGGAGUCUGCAACUCGACUCCAUGAAGUCGGAAUCGCUAGUAAUCGUGGAUCAGAAUGCCACGGUGAAUACGUUCCCGGGCCUUGUACACACCGCCCGUCACACCAUGGGAGUGGGUUGCAAAAGAAGUAGGUAGCUUAACCUUCGGGAGGGCGCUUACCACUUUGUGAUUCAUGACUGGGGUGAAGUCGUAACAAGGUAAGCGUAGUGCU
rnacentral:rRNA from 1 species